GAAAGCCGUAUGCUUUGGAAGAAACUUGUACAGUUUGGGAAGGGGUUUUUGAGAGAAAAGAAGAAUCUACUUCAAC
rfam:Triticum aestivum genome assembly, contig: Triticum_aestivum_CS42_TGACv1_scaffold_235258_3B